GACGAACGCUGGCGGCGUGCUUAACACAUGCAAGUCGAACGGAAAGGCCCUGCUUUUGUGGGGUGCUCGAGUGGCGAACGGGUGAGUAACACGUGAGUAACCUGCCCUUGACUUUGGGAUAACUUCAGGAAACUGGGGCUAAUACCGGAUAGGAGCUCCUGCUGCAUGGUGGGGGUUGGAAAGUUUCGGCGGUUGGGGAUGGACUCGCGGCUUAUCAGCUUGUUGGUGGGGUAGUGGCUUACCAAGGCUUUGACGGGUAGCCGGCCUGAGAGGGUGACCGGCCACCUGGGGCCUGAGAUACGGCCCAGUCUCCUACGGGCGGCAGCAGUGGGGAAUAUUGCACAAUGGGCGGAAGCCUGAUGCAGCAACGCCGCGUGCGGGAUGACGGCCUUCGGGUUGUAAACCGCUUUCGCCUGUGACGAAGCGUGAGUGACGGUAAUGGGUAAAGAAGCACCGGCUAACUACGUG
rnacentral:rRNA from 1 species